UGAAGGGAAAAUGCCCCAAGAACAAGCAGGAACUGAAGACAUUUGCAGUAGAGGCCUGGCAGAGCAUCACCAAGGAUGAAACCCAGCGUCUGGUGAUGUCUGCGUUACCGGGGCAACGCGGCCGGGACCCGAGACGUCACCAUGUGACGCAAAUUCCGGCGGGAGUGGUCACUUCAGGUGGGCGGACGAACGGGCCCGGAAUGGCGUGGCCAGCGGGAGCCAGACAUGGGGGAGGACGGAAGGGACUCCACUGCAGCAGUCUAUGAGGCAUGUGAAGGAAAGAUGAGCUGCUCGGAGCACCCCACGGCUGGAACGAGAUGGUGAUCAAGACAAGAUGAGCGAAGCUGACCCCACAGGAUUAAGUUGUCACGCCCUUCUUCUGCUCGUGCUGCACUGUAUGGGGUGAGACUGCUCGUUCCCUCCUCCAGGUUGC